AGAGUUUGAUCCUGGCUCAGAUUGAACGCUGGCGGCAUGCCUUACACAUGCAAGUCGAACGGCAGCACGAGAGCUUGCUCUUGGUGGCGAGUGGCGAACGGGUGAGUAAUAUAUCGGAACGUACCCUAGAGUGGGGGAUAACGUAGCGAAAGUUACGCUAAUACCGCAUACGAUCUACGGAUGAAAGUGGGGGAUCGCAAGACCUCAUGCUCAUGGAGCGGCCGAUAUCUGAUUAGCUAGUUGGUGGGGUAAAAGCUCACCAAGGCGACGAUCAGUAGCUGGUCUGAGAGGACGACCAGCCACACUGGAACUGAGACACGGUCCAGACUCCUACGGGAGGCAGCAGUGGGGAAUUUUGGACAAUGGGCGCAAGCCUGAUCCAGCAAUGCCGCGUGAGUGAAGAAGGCCUUCGGGUUGUAAAGCUCUUUUGUCAGGGAAGAAACGGUGGACUCUAAUACAGAUCACUAAUGACGGUACCUGAAGAAUAAGCACCGGCUAACUACGUGCCAGCAGCCGCGGUAAUACGUAGGGUGCAAGCGUUAAUCGGAAUUACUGGGCGUAAAGCGUGCGCAGGCGGUUGUGCAAGACAGAUGUGAAAUCCCCGGGCUCAACCUGGGAAUUGCAUUUGUGACUGCACGGCUAGAGUGUGUCAGAGGGGGGUAGAAUUCCACGUGUAGCAGUGAAAUGCGUAGAGAUGUGGAGGAAUACCGAUGGCGAAGGCAGCCCCCUGGGAUAACACUGACGCUCACGCACGAAAGCGUGGGGAGCAAACAGGAUUAGAUACCCUGGUAGUCCACGCCCUAAACGAUGUCUACUAGUUGUCGGGUCUUAAUUGACUUGGUAACGCAGCUAACGCGUGAAGUAGACCGCCUGGGGAGUACGGUCGCAAGAUUAAAACUCAAAGGAAUUGACGGGGACCCGCACAAGCGGUGGAUGAUGUGGAUUAAUUCGAUGCAACGCGAAAAACCUUACCUACCCUUGACAUGUCUGGAAUCCUUGAGAGAUCAGGGAGUGCUCGAAAGGGAAUCAGAACACAGGUGCUGCAUGGCUGUCGUCAGCUCGUGUCGUGAGAUGUUGGGUUAAGUCCCGCAACGAGCGCAACCCUUGUCAUUAGUUGCUGCGAAAGGGCACUCUAAUGAGACUGCCGGUGACAAACCGGAGGAAGGUGGGGAUGACGUCAAGUCCUCAUGGCCCUUAUGGGUAGGGCUUCACACGUCAUACAAUGGUACAUACAGAGGGCCGCCAACCCGCGAGGGGGAGCUAAUCCCAGAAAGUGUAUCGUAGUCCGGAUUGUAGUCUGCAACUCGACUACAUGAAGUUGGAAUCGCUAGUAAUCGCGGAUCAGCAUGUCGCGGUGAAUACGUUCCCGGGUCUUGUACACACCGCCCGUCACACCAUGGGAGCGGGUUUCACCAGAAGUGGGUAGCCUAACCGCAAGGAGGGCGCUCACCACGGUGGGAUUCGUGACUGGGGUGAAGUCGUAACAAGGUA
rnacentral:rRNA from 1 species